CAGAGAAACAGAGGCAUCGGUUCCUCCCCACAUGGGCAUGAUGGCUGGGUUCCAUGAGCAAGCAGCCCAAGAGACAGGAAGUUGAAGCAUCACUUACAUAUUAUUUUAUCAUUCCUGUGCUUCCUGGAUACAAGGCAAUCAGCCUUUGAUCUUGGUGCCUCUGGUUAGCUGCAUGCUGUCACCAGACUUAGAACUCCAAAUUUACUCUCUUUAAGUAUAUCAUUUGCUUAUUGGAAAGAAUUUGGGAAAUAAAAAAUUAAAAGACUUUAAUAUCAAAUCCAGCUCUACCAUAUACUUGCAGCAUGACCAUAGGUAGAGGAUGACAGCUCAGAGUCAGCCUGUGGAAUGCCGAUGAAGGGUGAAGUCAGAAGUCAGUAUUGCCCACUUGUUCUGGUCCUUUUCCCUCUCCCUCCCUCAGGAUAAAACUAUGUUGAAAGACUCUCCUUUUCUGACAUGAUUUCUUUCUGUACUGCAAGCUGUCUCCAAAGUGAAUGAUGACAAU